ACGAGGUAAAUAGUUGUUUCAAUGGAGGCAGUCGCAAUUCCACACAACAUACUCAUCGGAUUCGAUUAGCUAUGCGUAUAUUUGCUAUACACACGCUUUAGAAUUUAUUCUCCUUUCAACACUGUGAACAAAUCAGAGUGUAUCAAACAUGUCGUUUUUGAAUGUGCAUUGAAUGUCUUAUCAUGGGAUGUUGCACUUUCUGCGUUAAAAAUUUAUUACUGCUUCGUGCUGUAAUUAUUUUUUUACACACACACACACACACAUACGCACAUGUUGUAUGCCACGUAAAUAAUUUUUAACGGUUAAAAAUGUCGAUGGGGAUAGUUGGAGUCAACAGUACUGCUGGGCGAGAGGUGAAAUUCAUUGACCCUAGCAAGACUACCAAAAGCGAAAGCAGUUGGCUAGGCUAUACUCUUUGUGAUUAUAUAUAUUUUAUCACGCAUAAAUAUACACACACACACAUACACACUCACGUAUAUACAUGCGGUCAGUAUAAAUAUAUACACUUUACAAUGAAGAACGAAGGUUGGGGGAUCAAAGAGGAUCAGAUACCCUCGUCGUCCCAUUAAUUACAUCAAACGAUGGGCUCUCAAUUGCAUUUUCUCGUAAAUUGCAAAUUUCCUCAGCCUACAAAAUGAAUUGGCUUGAGCUCGUAUUAUUCGUAAUUCGCCUCACUAUUUUCGUACGGUCUCGAUGGACGUUUCAUUUAUAUUUUUUUGCGUGUAAGCAUUAUGUUAUUCUUUGAAACAUAAGAAUGCAUUGCGUGCACUUGAUUUUCGGAGCUUUGCGCUCAAUUCUGGUGAGAUGUAAGCACUAUGUCAUACUGCCCGCAGCGUAUGCCUUCGGGCAUUUCGUCUGUCGUGUGUAGUUGACAAUUUUGGUGUGAAGCACGCUUUAGGCACGCGCUUACUGCAGAAAUGUCUGAGACAUUCCCUUCCGGGGGUAGUAUGCACGCAAGUGUGAAACUUGAAGGAAUUGACGGAAGGGCACCACAAGAACGCGUGGAGCAUGUGGCUUAAUUUGACCCAACGCGGGAAAUCUUACCGGGUCCGGACACACUGAGGAUUGACAGGCAAUAUUAAUAAUUUUGUCAGCGUAUGGUAUAUUUUAUUAUGUUAAAUAUGCUAGUCCUUUCAUGAUUAUGUGAUAGGUGGUGCAUGGCCGUUCUUAGUUCGUGGAGUGAUCUGUCUGCUUAAUUGCGUUUCACUAAGGGCCUAUAAAUUCACGUAUGUUGCGACACUUUGACCCCUCCUCUGCGUGCGUGCGUCUUUGUUUGUUUAGCUCAUACAAUUAGGUCCUGAAAGCAACGAACGUGACCGCAACCUCUUGUUGCUUUCGUUAUGUGUGUGUACUCGAGGAGUCACACAAAUAUUUUUAUGCACAGAAAGCCUUUUAAACUAGAGGGACCGCUGUUACUUUCUUAAACCAGAGGAAGGUUGCGGCAAUAACAGGUCUGUGAUGCCCUUAGAUGUUCCGGGCUGCACACGUGCUACAAUGAUUAUUGCAGUGAGCAUCUCAUUUUAUUAUUCACACCGCAUGCGCGAGACCAUUUUAUUCUCUCUUCGCGAGUGUUUUAAAUGUGUAUCUCUGCGCGCGGUAAAGCCUACUUCGAAAGUAAGCGGGUAAUCAAUUAGAAGUAAUGAUUUCCUAUAUUUUAUUGUAUCACACACUCUCGUAUGGUAUAAUAAUUCUGCACACAUAUAUACGGCAUCUUUACCCGGGUUUUUCCGUAUGUGCGAUUGUCAAUUCAUGGUGGGGACAGACCAUUGUUAAUUGUUGGUCUCGGUCUUAACUAGGAAUGCCUUGUACUGGUCUUUGGUUCAACAAACCACCAGGAAUACGUCCCUGCCCUUUGUACACACCGCCCGUCGCUCUUACCGAUGGACUUCUCUGUGAGUUUGAGGACUGGGAACGCAUAUAAUUUCGAUUAUUUGCACACCUAUGGAAACUUAAACGAACAGUGUGGUCUAAAGGAAAGAGAAGUCGUAAC
rnacentral:rRNA from 1 species